GAUGAACGCUGGCGGCGUGCCUAAUACAUGCCAGUCGAGCGAACAGACGAGGAGCUUGCUCCUCUGACGUUAGCGUCGGACGGGGGAGUAACACGUGGAUAACCUACCUAUAAGACUGGGAUAACUUCGGGAAACCGGAGCUAAUACCGGAUAAUAUAUUGAACCGCAUGGUUCAAUAGUGAAAGACGGUUUUGCUGUCACUUAUAGAUGGAUCCGCGCCGCAUUAGCUAGUUGGUAAGGUAACGGCUUACCAAGGCAACGAUGCGUAGCCGACCUGAGAGGGUGAUCGGCCACACUGGAACUGAGACACGGUCCAGACUCCUACGGGAGGCAGCAGUAGGGAAUCUUCCGCAAUGGGCGAAAGCCUGACGGAGCAACGCCGCGUGAGUGAUGAAGGUCUUCGGAUCGUAAAACUCUGUUAUUAGGGAAGAACAAAUGUGUAAGUAACUAUGCACGUCUUGACGGUACCUAAUCAGAAAGCCACGGCUAACUACGUG
rnacentral:rRNA from 1 species